rnacentral:rRNA from 1 species
AGCGAACGCUGGCGGCAGGCCUAACACAUGCGAGUCGAACGAACCUUUCGGGGUUAGUGGCGGACGGGUGAGUAACACGUGGGAACGUGCCUUUAGGUUCGGAAUAACUCAGGGAAACUUGUGCUAAUACCGAAUGUGCCCUUCGGGGGAAAGAUUUAUCGCCUUUAGGGCGGCCCGCGUCUGAUUAGCUAGUUGGUUGAGGUAAUGGCUCACCAAGGCGACGAUCAGUAGCUGGUCUGAGAGGAUGAUCAGCCACAUUGGGACUGAGACACGGCCCAAACUCCUACGGGAGGCAGCAGUGGGGAAUCUUGCGCAAUGGGCGAAAGCCUGACGCAGCCAUGCCGCGUGAAUGAUGAAGGUCUUAGGAUUGUAAAAUUCUUUCACCGGGGACGAUAAUGACGGUACCCGGAGAAGAAGCCCCGGCUAACUUCGUG